UAAUACGGGGGGAGCAAGCGUUGUUCGGAUUUACUGGGCGUAAAGGGCGCGUAGGCGGUCACGACAAGUCAGUUGUGAAAUCUCUGGGCUUAACUCAGAACGGUCAACUGAUACUGUCGGACUAGAGUGCAGAAGGGGCAACUGGAAUUCUCGGUGUAGCGGUGAAAUGCGUAGAUAUCGAGAG
rnacentral:rRNA from 1 species